CUACUUACCUGGCAGGGGAUAUACCAUGAUCACGAAGGGAGUUGUCACAGGGCGAGGCUUAUCCAUUGCGCUUUGAAUGUACUGACCCCUGCAAUUUCCCCCAAAUGUGGGGAACUCAGCUGCAUAAUUUGUGGUAGUGGGGGACUGAGUUCACAUUCUCCUC